UGCAUACUUCACUAUUUGUACAUUUAUAUUUUUAGAUCUUUUCAAGAUCCCUUUCUGCCAUAACAGGUUGUAUCCUCUAUAUUCUGUCCUAUCCCACCUUUUUAAUUUAUACUUCACUUGUGGAGUUGUAUGAAUUAUUGUGUUUUUUUGGUUGCGUAUUAGGUGUAUGUGAGGUACACUUUUUUGGUGAAAGCACUAUCCAUUCUCUGGUGUUACAUAUAGUACAUACUUUGUAUAUCAAAAUCAACAUGAAGACUUUCUGGGGCCAGGGUUUAUAAAAGAAACUAC